rnacentral:lncRNA from 1 species
CUGAGGCAAUUAAUACGUCAUAAAAGAAACGAAGUGUAGGGAGAAUCAUUAACAUUCCCAAACAUAGAGAGUUAUCCUCGCAUACCUUAACUUCUUGCUCUUGAGCAUAAUACAACAUUCGCCAACCCUUUUAACUUUAAUCUAUAUCAAUACAAGUCAAAAGGAUUCCAAAUUAGCAACAAUAGUCAUGUUUUGGUCACUUAGGCAUUUUAUCAAACACUCGGUGGCAUAAAGCUUCAUAGCCCUUAUUAAUGGUGUCUCUACACCCAAUAACCCAUUAUCUUGCUCCUAGAUAAAUUCUAAAGUCUCAAAUGGUUAUAAUCAACAUUAUUCUUUAUCACUCAUAAGGUAAUCAACACCCAUAACCAAUAAUAACCAAUCAACAACCCAAACCUAUCACCAUUCAUGAUUUUCUAUCAAACUCAUUAACUCAUAUCUCAUGAAAUAGAGUCUAUAAUCAUUAAUUCAAUGAUAGAAUCAAUUAGAGGGUGAAGAUAUUACCUUUUUGACGUUCAAUCUUCUUGAAUUUGAGUUCUAGGGUUUCUUCUCUCAAUAAUGGUGUCCCAAUCGAAUAUCUAAUGAUAUGGAUGGUUUACCCAUGUUAAUAAGAUGUUGGGAAAUUGAAAUUAACUUAGAAUCACCAUUAGAACUUACCUUGGGUGGUGGAGGGACCCUUAAGGAGUUAGGUUUUUGAGAGUUUUCCUUUCUAGAGCAAGUUUUUAUGUUUUGGGGCUGUGGGGGACGAAAUAUGGAUAAAACAAUGACUUCCCAAGUCGGACACCGCAUCCCAGUAGGCCUGACCGCAGUAAAUUGCUGGAGCACUGCCUCACGACUGCGGUCACGGUCAAAUGCGGCCGAACGCUGUGGUUACACACUAUUCUGUAAAACGAGCAUAACAUUUUGCACAGAUCUCCGCUUGGG